rnacentral:lncRNA from 1 species
GUGCUAACUGCCGAGGAAGCAGCAGCACCCUGGCCGUGGUCUGCAGCCAAGCGUCAAGGACCCGGAAGCCUGGCGCAAUCCCCGCCACGACCACCCCGUCAGCUGCCGGACCGCGCCCCGCGGUGGCUUCUGCUGAGCGCGCGGCCAGCGGGGCCGCGGGAGCCUCCGAGCACGCCUGGACGCGGUGCCUGUGAGCUCCCGGGAGGCACGAACGAUCCCGGGAGUGAUCCCCUCCCGGCCGGGCCAUCGCCGUCGCAGCCGCCGCCGCCACCACCACCACCGCGGGGCGGAGCCCGGGCCGGGGGCGGGGCGCCAGGCGGGCGCGGCGCUAUUUCCAGCCUUGCCGGAGGCUUCGCUCGCACUUCGCUGGGAGCUUUCCCGGCGCGCAAUCCGGAAUCGGCGGUGCUGCGGGAGGAGAGAGGACCAGGCGGCGGCGGCGGCAGCGGCAGCGGAGGCGGGGACGGACCUGGGCCGGGGGCCGAGAGGCAACGCGCCGCCGCACCCUCUUCGUCGCCCCCUCCUGCGCGCUCCGGCCGCCGGCCCCCGCCGCGAGCCCACCCGGAGCACCGGGUUCCGCUCCGAACUGGGGCUGAGGUGCUUCCAGCCGCCCGGCGCCCCAAGCCGAGGCUUGGCGGUGGAGAACCGCGCCCGGACUAAAGGCGCCCGCGGCUUCGAGAGCGUCGGCUGCGCCAGCCCUCGGCCUGAUGGAUGCUUGGUGUGGACGAUGAGGGAAGAAGGCACCUCCCGCACCCCAGAGGUGACCCCGGCGUGUGCCCCGGAUGACCCCGCGACCCAGCACCAUGCGGCUGGCCUGCAUGUUCUCGUCCAUCCUGCUGUUCGGAGCUGCAGGCCUCCUGCUCUUUGUCAGCCUGCAGGACCCCACGGAGCUCGCGCCCCAGCAGGCGCCAGGUGA